GGCCCGGAAGCGCUCACACGUGUACUCACUCCCCUGCUCCUGGCCCCUUGGCCGGCCGGGCUGUUUCUGGCCGUGGGUCGCUCCCGCCGGACAGGUGCGCACCGAGCGCACUCUCUAGCCCGGCAGAUGAAGGUGAAGCGGCGGCGGCCGGACCUGGAUGAGAUUCACCGCGAGCUGCGGCCUCUGGGACCCGCAUGGCCCCAGCCUGACCCAGACGCCGAGCCCGACCUCGACCUGCCAGGGGGCGGCCUGCACCGCUGUCUGGCCUGCGUGAGGUACUUCAUCGAUUCCGCCAAUCUGAAGACCCACUUCCGAUCCAAAGACCACAAGAAAAGGCGGAAGCAGCUGAGCGUCAAGCCCUACAGUCAGGAAGAGGCGGAGAGGGCAGCGGGUAUGGGAUCCUAUGUGCCUCCCAGGCGGCUAGCAGUGCCCACAGAAGUGUCCACUGAGGUCCCUGAGAUGGACACCUCUACUUGACAUGGCCUGAAGAUGCAAGGCAGAGGAGUUGCCCAUGGACAGUGACGCAAGGACUAGGCUGGGAGGGAGCGUGCCAACCCCUUUUGGCUCUGGGUUUGGGGAACGGAGGGCCUCUUCUGGGUGCCCUGCCCCCAAUAAAGGAACUGGACAAAGAGAAAAAAAAAA